GCCGGGGUAGCUCAGGGGCAGAGCAGGCGAUUCGUAAUCGUCUGGUCGAGAGUUCGAGUCUCUCCCUCGGCU
rnacentral:tRNA from 1 species